CGUGGUGUAGCGGUGAAAUGCAUAGAUAUCACGCAGAACUCCGAUUGUGAAGGCAGCAUACCGGCGCCCAACUGACGCUCAUGCACGAAAGCGUGGGUAUCGAACAGGAUUAGAUACCCUGGUAGUCCACGCAGUAAACGAUGAAUACUAACUGUCCGGUCCGAAUGAGGACUGGGUGGUACAGCGAAAGCGUUAAGUAUUCCACCUGGGGAGUACGCCGGCAACGGUGAAACUCAAAGGAAUUGACGGGGGCCCGCACAAGCGGAGGAACAUGUGGUUUAAUUCGAUGAUACGCGAGGAACCUUACCCGGGCUCAAACGACACAGGAAUACUUUUGAAAGGAGGUAGCUCUACGGAGCCUGUGUCGAGGUGCUGCAUGGUUGUCGUCAGCUCGUGCCGUGAGGUGUCGGCUUAAGUGCCAUAACGAGCGCAACCCCCAUCGCCAGUUACCAUCAAGUAAAGUUGGGGACUCUGGCGAGACUGCCGGCGCAAGCUGUGAGGAAGGCGGGGAUGACGUCAAAUCAGCACGGCCCUUACGUCCGGGGCGACACACGUGUUACAAUGGCAGGUACAGAGAGAAGCGACAUGGCGACAUGAAGCGGAACUGUCAAAACCUGUCUCAGUUCGGAUUGGAGUCUGCAACCCGACUCCAUGAAGCUGGAUUCGCUAGUAAUCGCGCAUCAGCCACGGCGCGGUGAAUACGUUCCCGGGCCUUGCACACACCGCCCGUCAAG
rnacentral:rRNA from 1 species